rnacentral:rRNA from 1 species
GGGGGCAAGCGUUGUUCGGAAUUACUGGGCGUAAAGGGCUCGUAGGCGGCCAACUAAGUCGGACGUGAAAUCCCCAGGCUCAACCUGGGAACUGCGUCCGAUACUGGAUGGCUUGAAUCCGGGAGAGGGAUGCAGAAUUCCAGGUGUAGCGGUGAAAUGCGUAGAUAUCUGGAGGAAUACCGGUGGCGAAGGCGGCAUCCUGGACCGGCAUUGACGCUGAGGAGCGAAAGCCAGGGGAGCAAACGGG